rnacentral:rRNA from 1 species
UACGUAGGGUGCAAGCGUUGUCCGGAAUUAUUGGGCGUAAAGAGCUCGUAGGCGGUUUGUCGCGUCUGCUGUGAAAACGCGAGGCUCAACCUCGCGCCUGCAGUGGGUACGGGCAGACUAGAGUGCGGUAGGGGAGAUUGGAAUUCCUGGUGUAGCGGUGGAAUGCGCAGAUAUCAGGAGGAACACCGAUGGCGAAGGCAGAUCUCUGGGCCGUAACUGACGCUGAGGAGCGAAAGCGUGGGUAGCAAACAGG